AAUCUUCGGCAAUGGACGGAAGUCUGACCGAGCAACGCCGCGUGAGUGAUGAAGGNCUNNGGCUCNUNAAGCUCUGUUGCCAGNNNNNAAGGGCAAGGAGGGUGACUGCUCUUUGCUUGACGGUACCUGAGAAGAAAGCCCCUGCUAACUACGUCCCAGCAGCCGCGGUAAUACGUAGGGGGCGAGCGUUGUCCGGAAUUAUUGGGCGUAAAGCGCGCGCAGGCGGUUCUUUAAGUCCGGUGUGUAAGCCCGGGGCUCAACCUCGGGACGCACGGGAAACUGGGGGACUGGAGUGCAGGAGAGGGAAGCGGAAUUCCACGUGUAGCGGUGAAAUGCGUAGAGAUGUGGAGGAACACCAGUGGCGAAGGCGGCUUCCUGGCCUGUAACUGACGCUGAGGCGCGAAAGCGUGGGGAGCAAACA
rnacentral:rRNA from 1 species